CCUAUCCACCCAUUAGUUCUUUCCAAAGGAAAGCCAAUCGAGCUGUCUCAUAUAGAUUUAGAGGGUCUUCAAAAGACUUGUCCUUCCUUAGAGGAAUCUCGGAAGUUAGCUUUAAAUGGCAAGGUGACCCAGAGAAAGAAAUUUUCUUACAAGUUUGAGUUCAAACACGAUCUUUUGUACAAGACUAUAGUGUCUGCGGACAAACCCAAUGACGUUGGUCGAAGCCUGUUAGUCAUUCCGCAGGAUUGCCGUGAAACCAUUUUAAAGAUUUCUCAUGACUUGCCAGUCUCUGGCCAUUUUUCACAUAGGAAGACCUAUAAUAAAAUCAAGAACCUAUAUUUCUGGCCUAGCAUGCCCGCUGACAUCUAUAAGUACUGCAGAUCAUGUCACGUAUGUCAACUUUCCACGCAGAAGGGUAGAACUAGGAGAGUUCCUAUGGUAAAGAUGCCAAUUUUCUCAGUACCUUUUGCAAGGGUUGCAGUAGAUAUAGUUGACCCUAUCACUCCUCGUUCAUCAGGUCAUAAAUAUAUUUUAACUUCGACUAUGCGUCCAGCUGCCCAAAGAAGAAAGAUAUUCCACUGUGGAUAAAGAAUGUUAUGCAUUAACAGACACUUAAAAGGGGCUCUGGCUAUUCAGCCCUAUAAGCCUAAAAUCGUUCAUAUUUCUGGCUCUGAAAACCACUUCUCAGAUUGGCUGAGCCGAGGUUGUACAUAGUUCUUUUCCCUCUGUUCGUUGACUUAUUGACUCCGUCCAUAAGUUUUGGAAGGGGGUAUUGUGAGGGAAAAGUAGGCGUAAGUGGGGUUAAGGUUGUUCGGGCAUCCAGGAACCAUUAGUUACGUCGCGUGCACCCCCCCUCCUCUCUGGCGGGCUGGGGCGAAACUAGUUCCUGGUGUCCGAUUUGUUAGUUUCUACUCCUGGUAAUAUUGACCUUACCUGGUGUGGGUUGAAGUUUGGAGAGUCACUUCACCUCCACUCUUCUCCUAAUCAGCUCUGUUCCUGGCGUGGUCUUCCAGGAUAGACGCCAGAUAAAGGAGCAAGACAUGUUAAUAAUACUUAUUAACAUUAUUCUACUACUACCGGCCCUUACCUAUUCUACUUGUGCUCCAUCCAAGUGGUAGGAGAUUCCAGAACAUCGGAUUACCAUCUGCCCAGGAUAACCUACAUAAAUAACAUCAGAGGAACUAUCCAGGGCCAUACCUACUCCUACCCAACUACAAGAACUGAAGGCCAUUUUUUUUUAUUAUAUUUAAAUUUUAAGUAAAAUUCUCAAAAAUCAU